rnacentral:rRNA from 1 species
GACGAACGCUGGCGGCGUGCUUAACACAUGCAAGUCGAGCGAUGAGGUUUCUUCGGAAAUGGAUUAGCGGCGAACGGGUGAGGAACACGUGAAGAAUCUGCCCUCCACUUUGGGAUAACACAGGGAAACCUGUGCUAAUACCGAAUAUUGAAACAUAAGUGGCAUCACUGAGUUUUGAAAGAACUUCGGUGGAGGAUGACUUCGCGGCCUAUCAGCUAGUUGGUGAGGUAAUGGCUCACCAAGGCAACGACGGGUAGCCGGCCUGAGAGGGCGACCGGCCACACUGGGACUGAGACACGGCCCAGACUCCUACGGGAGGCAGCAGUGGGGAAUAUUGGGCAAUGGAGGAAACUCUGACCCAGCGACGCCGCGUGCGGGAUGAAGGCCUUCGGGUUGUAAACCGCUUUCAGUAGGGAAGAAGCGAAAGUGACGGUACCUACAAAAGAAGCACCGGCUAACUAUGUGCCAGCCGCCGCAGUAA